rnacentral:lncRNA from 1 species
AUAUCUCGCGAUAGCACUGUUUAAAAUGGCGGCUUCAAGGCGUUUCACGGGUGUCCCGGACAGGCGUGGAGGUGGGGCGCAGGCGAGGAUGAAGCUUGAGUUGGCCAGGAGUCGGAAAACGAUUGCAGGCGGGACCGCGUCCGUCGGGGCUGAGGAAACUUAGCGUGGCAGACCCUAAACUGGGAUAACUUUAGGGAUAUGGCCUUCUUUUCCCAGUUGCCUCAAACUUAGAGCAGCGUCGUCUUUAGCCGAAGAUUCAUUUUCCCAGCAUUUUCCUUCUCCAGGCGGAGUAGUUGGAGACAGAGGGCAAGCCAGAAACUGACCUUCCCAUCUCCUCAUUCCCUUCCAUCAAGAACUUUUCAUCGUUCUUUCCCCACCCUGGUUUGUAAAUGGUAUUUGGCUUCAUAAAAACGUUUGUCCACAGGUGCCCUGCUCCAUCAGUUCGCUCCAGCAAUAUAGGAAGUUACCAAAAAAAAAAUUUUUUUUUAUUGACCUUGGAUGCAGAAAGGAACCGCGUUGGUGUGUGAUUUGAAUUUUGGACUUCUUGUUUCCUGCCUUGUGGCCACGUCCCCCUUACUUGGUGACUCUCAGCACUUAGUUGUGGGGCUUUUUCUCUCUGCUCUCAGACAACUAUAAAAGCAGACUAAUUGAACAGCAUCUAGAACAGAAGGUGGAUGUAAAGAACAUUGGUCGGCCGGGC